rnacentral:rRNA from 1 species
AUUCCAGCUCCAAGAGCGUAUAUUAAAGUUGUUGCAGUUAAAAAGCUCGUAGUUGGAUUUCUGGUCUAAUGCGCCUGGCCCGCUGCCGUUAGGUAUGUGAGUGCCGGUGCGCGUUUACCAUCCUUCCAGAGAACACUUCUACCAUUUAUUUGGACGGAUGUUGUCUUCUGGAUCUUUUACUUUGAAAAAAUUAGAGUGUUUAAAGCAGGCCUUUGCUGUGAAUACAUUAGCAUGGAAUAAUAAUCUAGGACUUCGGUUCUAUUUUGUUGGUUUCUAGUACUGAAGUAAUGAUUGAUAGGGAUAGUUGGGGUUGCUAGUAUUGGCCGGCCAGAGGUGAAAUUCUUGGAUUUGUUAAAGACGGACUACUGCGAAAGCAUUUGCCAAGGAUGUUUUCAUUG